rnacentral:misc_RNA from 1 species
GAUGAAGAACGCAGUGAAAUGCGAUAAGUAGUGUGAAUUGCAGAAUUCAGUGAAUCAUCGAAUCUUUGAACGCACAUUGCGCCCGUCAGUAUUCUGGCGGGCAUGCCUGUUCGAGCGUCAUUACGCCCCUCAAGUCCCCUGUGGACUUGGUGUUGGGGAUCGGCGAGGCUGGUUUUCCAGCACAGCCGUCCCUUAAAUUAAUUGGCGGUCUCGCCGUGGCCCUCCUCUGCGCAGUAGUAAAACACUCGCAACAGGAGCCCGGCGCGGUCCACUGCCGUAAAACCCCCCAACUUUUUAUAGUUGACCUCGAAUCAGGUAGGACUACCCGCUGAACUUAAGCAUAUCAAUAAGCGGAGGA